AAUCGCCGAAGGAGGGAGGUGGCUCAGAAAUUUGGCCAGUUUCUAAUGGGCAAAGGGAAUGUGCUCCAGAGGUCAAUAAAGCCCUCCAAAAUGAUGAAUGAUUGAGUACCUGUGAUGAUGAUAGUGAUUACCGGAGCAAUUAAACAGUUUGAUUAAAUGAGCCAUCAUAACAAUGAUGUCUGCGGGAAAUCAGCCCUCACAUAUAAAGAAAGAUAGCGAGGGGAGAGAGAGAGAGAAAGAGAGAGAGAGAGGCUGGCUGGCUGGCGAACGCCAUCGGGCACGGCGUCGCUUUCCGAGAGCGCUCGGCGUGAGGAACGGGGCUGAGGGCGCGCCGUUCCCCCGACAGCCGGGCGCAGAGGCGGAAAAGUAUCGCCCAGACUUCAAGCCACACUUGCGCGCACUCUUGAACCACCUUCUGGAGCUCGAGAGCCAGACCCAGUGGGCUGCUUUUUGCUUGUCUUCCUCCCUCUUUUUCCCCCCUCCCCUUCCUUUCCCCUCUAGAGGACCUCUUCCAAGAUUAAAGCCAUUCUUAAGAGCAACCACUAUCCUCUCUGGCUGAGUUGCCCCGGACCGUAUAGAAAGAGCCGGGUCAUAACCAAAUACGGCUUCCCGAGGGGAAAAUGUGUAAAGAUUGCGCCCGCCCACCCCUUUUCUCCCGUCUGAAUCCCAAACCGCGCCUGGUGUUGGCUCCUUCCUCUUGAAGUUCAGGCAUCUUAUCUGCCCAAAAGCGCUGUCUGGAGGUUGGCUCGGGCUGGGGCGGCUUGAGUGAAGACCACCGCCCGGCUUCACCUAAGGGAUCUUCAGGUGAACACACAUAUUUUGGAAAAAAAUGAGACGUCUUCUCUUCCCCCCCCCCCCCCCAAUAGAGAUAGCAUGAUUAGAGCGGUCAGGUUCUCCCACCACCCCAAGGAAGGAGAAAUAUAAAAGUUAGGCGAGCAGAGGGACCAGGCGGGGGAGGGGGGGAUUAGGUUCCAGCCCUUGGAAAUGCUAAGGGUGAGGGUCCCGCCCCGGUCCGGAAAUAGUUCCCGCCCUACCUGGCAGCCCCCUCCCAAAAACCUCCUCCCCAGCAACUAAAGUGGAGGGCAGGAGAGGCGAUCCGCCAGCCAGCUAACCGACCGGCCGCGGCAGCGGCUCUUUUCUUUUGCCCGUCUUCCGCGCUUAAGCAGGAAAAGAAAGCCGGCACAAUGGCCGGUCGGUUGGACGGGUGGAUCGCCUCUCCUGCCAUCCACGGUAGCUGCUGGCGGCGAGGAGAGAGCAGAGCCACCGUCCGAUCCAGCAGCACCUGAAAAGUGGACUGGGAUCGAUCCGGCAAAGCGGGAAGUCAUCGCAAACUCCCUGUCCGUUAGCGCCUCAUCGACACGUCGGGGGUAAAAGGGUGGAUGGCAGGGCCCCUCCCCAUUUUAAUACGUACAAUAUAUGCCUAUAUCAUCUGAUCUAUAGAAAUGGUAUGAGUUAUGAAAAGGAACGGACGGACCGAGUAGGAAGCCAGCGUCCCAUGUAGCCCAGCCUGCGGGUCCGCCUUGGCUUUCUUUUGGGGGGCGGCCCGGCGGCAGCGAAACCGGUUCCAAGCGCUGCCCGUCCUUUCCACGACGAGCCCCUUGUAAAGCAUUUAACAGCAAUUAUGCCUUAAUCAGCUGGAAUGUUGGCCACAAAUGACGCUAUUAAACAUCAAAGGCAUGCCUGAGACUUUACCUUUUAGCCAUAAGCGGAUUAAUUUCUCUAAUUAGAGGGGAUAAAUAUGUGCAUAAAUAAAUAUCUCUCUCCACUAUCAGUUCUCCUCCACUGUGGGGUGGGGUGGAGGGGCGGGGAGGAGGAGGCCGCGGCCCGUUUGGUUUUUGGUUUGGUUGAAAAAGAAAAGAAAAAAAGUUUGACCGCCUCUUGAGUUCUUAACGUGGCCUGAGAGGGAGUGAGGAGGGGGUGAGGAGGUGCCCACAAUCCCACCCCUCACCAAAACAAGAAGAUCGCCUCACUCCUCCCCCCGAAAAAAAUCAGCGGAUCCAAGAACCGGGGACGGCGUCCUUCUGAGGAGAGGGCGAGGAUGGCUUUCCUUUGGGAGAGGGCGGAAGUGUGGGAGGUUGUCGUUGUUUCGGGAUCCGAUGUACUGCCUUUCUUCCCCUCCUCCCCCCCCCCGAAAGAUCAAGGCUGAGUUUAUUUCCCCCUCCCCCGCCUUCAAUAAAAUCUGCCUGACCUUGA